UGGGGAAUAUUGCACAAUGGGGGAAACCCUGAUGCAGCGACGCCGCGUGAGCGAAGAAGGUUUUCGAAUCGUAAAGCUCUGUCCUAUGGGAAGAUAAUGACGGUACCAUAGGAGGAAGCCCCGGCUAACUACGUGCCAGCAGCCGCGGUAAUACGUAGGGGGCAAGCGUUGUCCGGAAUCACUGGGCGUAAAGGGUUCGCAGGCGGAAAUGCAAGUCAGUUGUGAAAGGCAGAGGCUCAACCUCUGUAAGCAAUUGAAACUGUAUUUCUUGAGGUGUGGAGAGGCAAGUGGAAUUCCUAGGGUAGCGGUGAAAUGCGUAGAUAUUAGGAAGAAUACCGGUGGCGAAGGCGACUUGCUGGACACAAACUGACGCUGAGGAACGAAAGCGUGGGUAGCAAACAGG
rnacentral:rRNA from 1 species